AUAGGACUCGCGUCAUUCUGAUCGCAUUAGUGAGCUUCAUCUAGCUCUAUUGGAAGUGAUCAUGUUACGUUAUGUCAAUAGCAUGCCAUUUCUACUGACAGUUAAAAAUGAAGAAAUGCGUGCAAUAUCCACAAGCUACACUAUUAAUAGAAAAAUGAAACCCGUUUGACCCUGGCCUUGUAUUGUCUCAAUAACACCUGCAAUGCGACAAAGGAAUUUGAUGGAUGUUCUGGAUCUCCAAACUAUGACCCUAGGCUGUUUCAUUUUUGACUUUUUUUUUUAAAUUUUGGGGGGACGCUCGGAUUAUAUGUUCUUAUGAUAUAAUGAGACUAUUCACCAAGUUUGAGCUAAAAAAAAUAAAAUUUGAUAUGCGCGCCUGUCGAUUUUCUCCAAAAAU